rnacentral:rRNA from 1 species
AAUAGAUACCCUGGUAGUCCACGCCGUAAACGAUGGAUGCUAGCUAUUGGGGGGAAUCGACCCCCUCCGAAGCGAAGCUAACGCGUUAAGCAUCCCGCCUGAGUAGUACGAGCGCAAGCUUAAAACUCAAAGGAAUUGACGGGGACCCGCACAAGCGGUGGAGCGUGUGGUUUAAUUCGAUGGUAAACGAAGAACCUUACCAAGGUUUGACAUCCCGGUAGCCGUUCUCCGAAAGGAGAAUUUCAUUUAGUUGGACCGGUGACAGGUGAUGCAUGGCCGUCGUCAGCUCGUGUCGUGAGAUGUUGGGUUAAGUCCCGCAACGAGCGCAACCCUCGUCCCCAGUUGCCAGCGGUCCGGCCGGGCACUCUGGGGAAACCGCCGGUGAUAAGCCGGAGGAAGGUGGGGAUGACGUCAAGUCCUCAUGGCCCUUACAGGAUGGGCUACACACGUGCUACAAUGGCGGUGACAGUGGGUUAAUCCCCAAAAGCCGUCUCAGUUCGGAUUGUCCUCUGCAACUCGAGGGCAUGAAGUCGGAAUCGCUAGUAAUCGCGUAACAGC